rnacentral:lncRNA from 1 species
GGAGCCAGUCUUCAGAAUUAGUAUGUAUGUGGUUCAACUCAGAAAUCCACAACGAAGGACCACCUGGCAAGCAGCACAUGACAAUAAAGGAAAGGGAGGAUAUUCUGUCUUUCUCUCUUUCUCCAAAUCCUUCCUACAAACCAGCAGGAGUAUUAUGUUUCAUCCUUUCUUCACCCAGCAGGAGAGAACAUUCCAGAAUGCAACAUCCAUCCAGGGGAGGAUGAGGGGAGGAGCCAGACUGGAUUAGUGGACAAGAAUGAAAGGAAAAACAUUAGCUUCAUUGAUGCCAACCCUCGUCAGAGCAGCAUUGAGCAGAGCGAGAGGCCUGGAUGACUGUACGUUUACAUCAUUAUCAAACCUCUGUGAAACACAUCUAUCACUGUCUCCUGCUCAUCUAUCAAAAUCCCCUGGCUUGGAUCACCACAAACAAACACUUG